CCCAGGGUGCCCCGCGCGGCGUGGACUCGGGCCGCUGCCGCCAUCCCGCUGGCGAGAGGGAGAGAGAGGCCCGCCCGCUCGCCGGUCGGGCCAGUGUGGGCCAGUGCGUGAGGGCGCGGGGGGCCGUGUCAGCGAGACGCAGAGCGCAGCCGCCACCAGCAAACGGACAUGUUGGAGCCCAGCGCCGCCGCCGCCUCCUUUUCCUCAUCCUCCGAACGGGACUGAGAGGGGGCCCGCCACCCUCCGCCUCUGCCGCCCGCCCCGCCGCCUCGGCCUCAGCCUCUUCCUGCCCGGCCUCUGGCUCCACCGCUCGUCGCUUCCCCCCCGCCCCUCAGGCCCGGCCGGUUCCCGGCCCCGCUCCGCCGCGGCGCGAGGUCUAUGUGACCGGCGGGCCCGGAGCAGCCGCCGCCGCAGCGCGAACAUGGACGCCGUCAACGCCUUCAACCAGGAGCUCUUUUCACUUAUGGAUAUGAAACCUCCCAUCUCUCGAGCCAAGAUGAUUCUUAUCACUAAAGCUGCUAUUAAAGCUAUUAAGCUUUAUAAGCAUGUAGUUCAAAUAGUAGAAAAGUUCAUCAAAAAGUGUAAACCAGAGUACAAGGUUCCAGGAUUAUAUGUAAUCGACUCAAUUGUGCGACAGUCUCGUCAUCAGUUUGGAACCGAUAAAGAUGUUUUUGGGCCAAGAUUCUCUAAAAACAUAACCGCCACAUUCCAAUAUUUGUAUCUUUGUCCAUCUGAAGAUAAGAGUAAAAUAGUUCGUGUGCUGAACCUUUGGCAAAAAAAUGGAGUAUUCAAAAUUGAAAUUAUUCAGCCUCUUUUGGAUAUGGCUGCAGGAACCAGUAAUGCCGCCCCAGUAGCAGAAAAUGUUACUAAUAAUGAAGGUUCACCUCCACCUCCAGUUAAAGUUUCUUCUGAACCACCCCAAGCCACUACAAACUCUGUACCAACUGUACCACAGUUGCCUAGCUCUGAUGCUUUUGCUGCUGUGGCCCAACUGUUUCAGACAACUCAAGGUCAACAGCUUCAGCAGAUCCUUCAGACUUUUCAGCAGCCUCCAAAACCACAGUCUCCGGCUCUUGACAAUGCCGUGAUGGCUCAGGUCCAGGCUAUCACAGCUCAGUUAAAGACAGCUCCUGCACAGCCACCUGAACAAAAAGCUGCUUUCCCCCAGCCUGAGCAAAAAACUACAUUUGACAAGAAGCUCCUUGAUAGAUUUGAUUAUGAUGAUGAGCCAGAAGCUGUGGAAGAAGCAAAGAAGGAAGAUGCCGCUGCCGCCGCCGCCGCCACCGCCGCCGCCGCCACCACCACCACCCCUGCUGUGGCUGUUGCGCCUCCAGCGCCCGCUGCCGCCUCCGCCGCGCCCGCCGCCGCACCUGCCGCUUCCCCUCCACAGGCACCCUUUGGGUUUCCUGGGGAUGGCAUGCAGCAGCCAGCAUAUACGCAACAUCAAAAUAUGGAUCAGUUUCAACCUCGAAUGAUGACAAUACAGCAGGAUCCAGUGCACCAUCAGGUUCCACUUCCUCCGAAUGGACAGAUGCCAGGAUUUGGCCUUCUUCCUACACCUCCAUUUCCUCCCAUGGCUCAGUCUGUGAUUCCUCCAACUCCACCCGUGCAGCAGCCUUUCCAAGCUUCUUUUCAGGCACAAAAUGAACCACUUACCCAGAAGGCACAUCAGGAAAUGGAAGUAGAACAACCUUGUAUUCAAGAGGUUAAACGGCACAUGUCUGAUAACAGAAAGUCAAGAUCUAGGUCAGCAUCCAGGUCACCAAAAAGAAGGCGAUCUCGAUCUGGUUCUAGAUCUCGAAGGUCCCGUCAUCGACGUUCUCGAUCACGGUCCAGAGAUAGACGCCGACAUUCUCCUAGAUCUCGGUCCCAAGAAAGGCGAGAUCGAGAAAAAGAAAGAGAACGCCGACAAAAAGGCCUUCCUCAAAUCAAACCAGAAACUGCGAGUGUUUGUAGUACUACACUCUGGGUGGGACAGCUGGACAAAAGGACUACUCAACAGGAUGUUGCCAGUCUAUUAGAAGAGUUUGGUCCAAUUGAAUCAAUUAAUAUGAUUCCUCCCAGAGGUUGUGCCUAUAUUGUUAUGGUUCAUAGGCAAGAUGCAUAUCGUGCCUUGCAGAAACUGAGCCGAGGAAACUAUAAAGUGAACCAGAAAUCCAUAAAGAUUGCCUGGGCUUUAAACAAAGGAAUAAAGGCAGAUUAUAAGCAGUAUUGGGAUGUAGAACUGGGUGUUACUUAUAUUCCGUGGGACAAAGUCAAGCCUGAAGAACUGGAGAGUUUUUGUGAAGGAGGAAUGUUGGACAGUGAUACACUUAAUCCAGAUUGGAAAGGAAUCCCCAAGAAGCAUGAAAAUGAAGUUGCUCAAAACGGAGGGGCGGAAACCUCACAUACAGAACCAGUAUCACCCAUUCCUAAACCUUUACCAGUGCCUGUCCCUCCGAUUCCUGUCCCUGCACCUAUAACAGUGCCACCUCCACAGGUCCCACCACAUCAGCCUGGUCCUCCUGUAGUUGGUGCUCUCCAGCCACCCACGUUCACACCUCCCUUGGGCAUUCCCCCUCCGGGUUUUGGUCCUGGUGUUCCUCCUCCGCCGCCUCCUCCACCAUUUUUGCGCCCAGGAUUUAAUCCGAUGCAUUUACCACCAGGUUUUCUUCCUCCUGGACCCCCACCUCCUAUAACUCCACCAGUAUCCAUUCCUCCUCCUCACACUCCACCAAUAAGCAUCCCAAACUCUACUAUCGCUGGUAUAAAUGAAGACACUACAAAAGACUUAUCUAUUGGAAAUCCCAUUCCAACAGUGGUGUCUGGGGCUAGAGGAAACGCCGAGUCUGGUGACAGUGUGAAAAUGUAUGGCUCUGCCGUGCCACCUGCUGCACCCACGAGUCUGCCCACCCCUCCCGUAACCCAGCCUGUUUCACUUCUUGGUACCCAAGGAGUUGCCCCUGGUCCUGUGAUUGGGCUCCAGGCACCAUCCACUGGUCUUCUUGGUGCCCGCCCUGGCCUGAUCCCACUUCAGCGCCCUCCAGGAAUGCCUCCACCGCACUUACAGCGGUUUCCUCUGAUGCCACCUCGCCCCAUGCCGCCGCAUAUGAUGCACAGAGGCCCCCCUCCAGGACCGGGGGGCUUUGGAAUGCCUCCACCUCAUGGAAUGAAAGGCCCCUUUCCACCGCAUGGCCCCUUUGUUAGGCCGGGCGGAAUGCCAGGGCUUGGGGGCCCAGGGCCAGGCCCAGGGGGCCCCGAGGACAGAGACGGCAGGCAGCAACCCGCCCAGCCGCCGCCGCCGCCCCAGCCGCAGCCACAGCAGCAGCCGCCGCCCGCCCAGCCGCCGCCGUCUGCGCAGCCGCCGCCACAGCCGUUUAGAAAUGAUAACAGGCAGCAGUUCAAUUCAGAUUUUACCUUCUGUCCCACUAAGGCUCUUGUGUUGGAGGGAUGGAGCUAUUCUUACAGAGUAAUGCAAAUAAAUGCAGACCCUGUGCUUGAUGCAUCCACCCUCAACCCCAGCUCACAAACACCUGAGAUUACUAUGGAAGGACCCUCGGAACGAACCAAGUGCCAGCCAUCCUCUUAGCUCCGGGCCUGUACGACACCCGCCCCGGGACCGCCCGUGCCCACAGGCUGCACGCUGCAGACCCCUGAGCGGAAAGGAAGCCCCAAAGUGGGCUAACGGAUGCGACUGUGCCCAGGUGGCCCUGCCGCACUCCCCGCCCCCGUCCCCGCCCCAAGGGCGGGCCAGGCCCGGGACUGCGCAACUCGAGUCCGCAGGAGCCUCAAGACCCAGAAAACGACCCCGCAAGGGAAGGGCCACAGCCUCCUCAAGAACGUCACGUCUCCGCCCCGGCCUACAGACGCCACGGAGGCGGCCCAGGCCCUCGGGCCAGCCGGCCUCCGCCCUCCUUCCCGGGCCCGCGCUCCGAGCAACGCCCCCAGGGUCGGCCGCUGCUCCUUCCCUGCACCCGCGCCCAGGCCUCGCCACGCACCGCCGCCCCCGCCCGGCCCGCCCGGUGACUCAGCAUUCGGCCGCCGCACCGCCGCGGGGCAGAGGCCUCGGGCGGCGCGAACCCGCAGACCCGACGCGGCGGGGGCGUGACGAGGGCGGCGCGAGGCCCGGCCGGCCGCCGCUCGGGGGCACAGGUGCGCGGGCACGGCCUCGCCGCCGGCCUCCGGCCGCCGCCCCAGCCCUUGCCUUCUGCACGAAGUGGAUGGUGCCCUCCACCGGGCCCUGGCCCUUCAGCACGCACACGGCCUUCAUCUCCAUGGCUGGCGAGGCCGCGCUCCGGUCCGGCUUCCGAAGGCUGUGAGGACUCCGAAGACGGCGGAGGACGCAGCAGAAGACGCCGACGCAAACCGAGGUGGUCGCGCCGCGCGCCCUUAUAGGCCGGAGCUCCGCGCCCCGCCCACCCUGGCCCGGAACCAAUCGCCGCCCGCGCGCUCAGCCCGCUCCCCACGAGGCGUCGGCACGCGAGUGGCCCGGAGUGACCGGCCGGGGGCGGGACCAAGGGGCCGCGUGGGGAUCCUUGCGUCCCACGCCGCCGGCUCCCUCCGCCCCGCGGCUCUAGAACGCCCAGAAACAUGGAAUUGUGGAAAAACCCGGCCUUUCCCUUCCAAUCCGUAGAUGACAGUACGCGAAAUUGGGAAAAUGAGGUGGGCCUCAUGCCAUCCACUGAAGACCUGAAUAGAACAAGAAGACUGAACAAGAAGGAACUUCUGCCUGGCUCUUUGAGUCAGAACAUCCGUCUUCUCCUGCCCUCUGACUACAACUUACACCCGCUCUCCUGGUUCUCCAGCUUGCCGACUGCAGAUCUGGGGACUUCUCAGCCUCCAUAAUCACACCUUGACAGCUGCAGGUGCAUGGAGAAUGAACAUGACUCCAGCGCACGGAGAUAGCUCAUCAUGCAGUAAAUGAAGGAACAACACAUCUUUCUCCCUUCAAAACAGCCUUGUGGGAUGUUCAACACAGAAUGAGCAGUUCACAGUCCAGUGGGGGCAGGGGAUCCUUCUGCACUGACACGAGUCCCAAGGGCUACCAUAACAGAAUGCACAGACUGCGCGGCUUAAACAACAAAUUCACUGGGAUGCCUGUGUGGCUCAGUCAGUUAAGCAUCUGCCUUCAGCUCAGGUCAUGAUCCCAGCGUCCUGGGAUCAAGCCCUACAUCAGGCUCCCUGCUCAGCAGAGAGUCUGCUUCUCCCUCUCCCUCUCCCUUGGCCCCUCCUCCCACUUGUGCUGUCUCUCAAAUAAAUAAAUAAAAAUCUUUAAAAAAAUUUAUUUUCUCACAGUCUGGAGGCUGGAAGUCCAAGAUCAAGGUGGCAGGGCUGGUUUCUCCUGAGGCCCCUCUCCUUGGCUUCAGGUGGUUACCUCUCAUUGCCCUCACAUGGUCUUUCCUCCGUGCGCAUGCAUCCCAGGUGUCUCUGUGCCUUUCUGGGUCCUAAUCUCCUCUUAUAAGGACACCAGUCAUGUUGGAUUAGAGCCCACCCAUAUAACCUCAUUUUACCUUAGCUGCCUCUUUAUAGGCGCCAUCUCCAAGUAGAGCCACAUUCUGAGGUAGUGGGGGUUAGGACUCCAACACAGGAAUGUUGGGGAGAUACACAUCGGCUUAUAACAUCCAUCUUAGUCAAAGUGGUCAGCAUUCCAUACCAUGAGGCAACAAACACAAGACUCGAAAUCAACAUGUUGAGGGCAGUGGAGAAAGAAGUUUGGAAAACCUGGGUCCUUGAAGACAUCCCAUCUCCCUCCAGACUGCUUGUUAAAUGAACAAUAAAUGUACUUAUGGUUUAAGUCCAUUACGGGUCCUGUCAUUUACCACUGAAAGCAUUCCUACCUGAUGCACUUCUCCAGCAUUUAGCACCAUACCUAGCAUACAGCAGGGACUCAAUAAGUAUAUGUAAAUAAGGGGUGCCUGGGUGGCUCAGUUGGUUAAGCCACCAACUUUUGGUUUCGGCUCAGCUCACGAUCUCAGGGUCGUGAGAUGGAGCCCCAUGUCAGUCUCUGCGCUCAGCAUGGAGUCUGCUUAAGAUUCUCUCUCUCCCUCUCACUCCCCCCACCAUCUCCUUCUCUCGCAAAAAAAAAAAAAAAAGUAUAUGUAAAUAAAUGAACUCUCCUGCUUCCGUAGCUUUCCUUCCCCUAGGUUAUGGAACUGAAACACCUUAUCAGAUUCUAUAGGACUUUCUUCCUGCUCAGCGUCUGCUCUCAUCCUACGUCUCCGGCUUCACUUCCUCCAUCCAUCCCUUGGGCAGAGUCAAUCCUUUGCUGAGGGUAAUUAAUCAGGAGGGAUGCAGAGAAAGCAAAGGGUUGAAUGUGCAUUUCAGGGGUUUGGGGAAGCAGAGGGAUACGUGAAUGGCACUGAGGAGCCAUGACCCUAGAGUAGGAGGGCGUGCUCCUAGCAGACAAGCUGGUUGGAAGGACACAAGCUUAGGUGAAGGAUUUGGAGGUCUUUGAGGAGACACAGGAAGAAUGAGAGAUCACAAGGUUAAGAAGAGACUACUUUCCUCCCACAACACAGGAACCACGGUGAAAUGGAAGGUAGGUGUAUUCACUUCCUGGGGCUGUCAUAACAAGGGGCUACAAACCAGCUGGCUUAAAACAGCAAAAAUGUAUUCUCUUGGAGUUCUGGAAGGCAGAAGUCCAAAAUCAAUGUGUCAGUUGGCAGAGUUGGUUCUUUCUUGGAGAAGGAAGGAAUUUAGCCCAUGCUCUCUGUUUUAGCUUCUGGUGUUGCCAGAAAUCCCUGACAUUUCUUGGCUGGGAGAUGGCCAUCUUCACUCUGUGUCUUUUCCCAUUGUCUUCUCUCCAUUCUUGCUAGAAUUCAAUACGUCCUUUUGUGGGACACAGUUCAGCCCUGGACAGCUCUUUGGAGUGUUCCUUCCUGCUAAGGGAAUGUCCUGGAUGGUUUAGUUGACUGCCUGAGAGCUCUGUGAAGGGGUAGGGGGCUUUUCAUGACAUUUUAUACAAGAAUCUUUAGAAAGAAUUGUUGUUUCUCUACUAUCAGCUAUCUUCCUCUGUCUCAGUCAUUUUUUAUCCCGCACAGCUCCUGACACAGUACAUCACCUGGAAUAGGGUUUCGGUAAAGAUCCGUGGAGCUCACUGGGUUUUUUCUGUGUAACCCAGCAACAGAGCCAGAAUUUAUAGCAGAGGAUGUGGUACGCGCUGGGGGUUGGGAGGCUAGACUUUCAACUGGACAGAUUGGGUUCAAAUCCCAGCCUUGUCUUGUUUUGGCUCUGUGGCCCUGGACUAACCCUCUAAGCUUCUGUCUGCUCAUCCAUACAACGGGAACCAUAAGCGUAUUCACCCCACGUGGAUCUGCCUUUCAGCAGUUCCAUGUGGAUAGUAGGACGUGGGGCAGCUUUGCCGGGUCCUUGUCUAGCCCCACGUGGCCAUCCACACCUGUGGCCAAGGCACAGGAAGUUCCUGGGCUUUCCUCACCUGAAUGCAGCAAUCAUCUCAUGCAAUCGUUUGUUUCCAUGGUUACGAAGUUUGCUUUGGUUUGUUUGAUCUUGGACUCCGGGUCUGUGUUAGUGCCAAGUGUUUCACAACUCGACCUGGAGAGGAAAAAAAGAGGAAGAGCCGGAGACGCACCUCGUUUGAGACACACCACAGAGUGAGUGGGUGGUGUCUUGUCUGCCUCAGAGCCCCAAAGAGAGGGUGGAGAACCUAUGUUCCUUGCAUCCUUGGCAGAUCGGAGCACAGAGAAAUGACAGGAUUCCGGGGCAGGAUUCCACCGGGUGAGGCAAACUGAGGGCCAAGGGAGGGAGCAGGGAAAACUAUUUCCAUGCCCAGCUGGGGCCCUGCAGGUUUCACACCUGGCCUCCCCCACUUUGCAGGAUCGGAUGGACCUGAGUUGACAGCCUGCAGAAUAAUUUUAGGGUCAGCCCCAGGUCAAAGUGGAUUUGGGCUUCCAAAAAGCAAGAGAAUAAAGACAGGUGGGCAGAGGGGCUUCAUUUAACAUAAAGCUGGCUUCAGACCAGCUAGAAAGACAUUUAAAGACCCUCAAAGUGGUUGGAACUUGUGGAGGAGGGUCUUUGCUACGCUGAGUUGACUCUCAGAGUUCCUGGAAGUGUGGGGGAGGGGCAGGGGGGAGUGGGGCAAAGGAGACUGAUGGGCCAAAUACAGCGAGUAGCUUAUGAUCCUUUCAUUUUCAAUAACGAAGAUAAGAUUUGCUGUAGGUCAGGCCCCAGAUUAGGUGAUGGCCAUAUGUUGUUCUCUGUGAUCCUUACAACUCUGAAGGUGGACCACCUGGGUCCAUUUAUCUAUGACUGCAUAAUAAACCAGCGCCCCAAAAGUGACAUGAAGCUGUAGUCAUUUUAUUGUGCUGAGAUCCUCUGGGUCAGGAUUUGGAAAGAGCACCCAGGGGACUGCUUGUCUCUGGUCUGUGAUGCCUGGGGCCUCAGCUCGUCUGUUUCAACACCAAUUCUCCGACACCAACGGGCACCAGUCGUAACCUUUAUGAUAAACCAGCAAAGUCAGUAAAGUUUUUUCCUGGGUACUGUGAGUUGAUCUAACAAAUUACCAAACCAGGGGCGUGGGAUGGUGGUGGUAUGGGAACCUCAAGUUCGUAGUCAGCCAGGCAGAAAUGUGGGUAGAUAAUGUCAGCCCGUAUCAGCCCUGAAUGGAUUAUUGGACACCCAGUUGGCAGAGAAUUGGUUGUUGGAGUGGGGGGGAAAAAACUCCACACAGACUCCCAUAAGCUUCUAAGGGCCAGCCCUGAGAUCUAAACCCAAUCUACCUGGAUUCAAGGCACUCCUCUAUCCACAUCAUUGCACCUCGAUCUCCAAAUCCCUAAAGCUUCUGGGUUCCCUGUGCAAAUCAUCUUCUCCCCCGCCUGCUGUCUGAAGCAUCAUCUGACCUACCACGAUCCCUUUGAUUCUCUUGUAUCAUCCGUUAAACCAUUUGUUCUCAAAUUUCAUUUCUGCCUGGGAACAAGGGACAGAUGUAUUCCUUUGGGGUCCUAGGCUGCGGCACAGGUGAGAGAGCUCUGGGGACCAGUCACGGAGCUAACACUGACCCCACCCUUUCCUCUCUGCUCUCUAAAGCAUGGGAGACGGUCUGGAGCGGGAGCUCAUUAUCGGGAUAACACAGCCGUCCACUUUAAAACACAUACAAAGUAAAUCCUCCGCCAUGUUGGGUACUUAAAUAUUUUUCUUAAUAAUUAGCGAGCAGCCAACUUUGCCACUGGAUGAGGCACCAUGGUUUGAGGUCACAGCUUAAGGCACUUGGAUGUGGUCAACCCACCAGGUCAAUGGCUAAAUUUUCUUUCUAGAAAUCCAGUUUGCAACCAUCCCCAUAAUGGUUGUUUUAUUGUUCACACAUCUUACAUAUUUUCCUCCUGAAAACCUGAGAAUCUUCUAUCAUGGACAAUAUGCCUCUAACCUCCUUCUGUUCACCAAUUUUCAGCCCAGCAUUCCUGGCCCCUCCCCACUGGGUCAUUCCUUUGUCCUAUGCCACUUGAAGUCCCUACAUCCUCUUACUGAUUCUAACCCAUUUGUUCACAUCUUCCAAGGCUAAAAGCCUCCUCAAGAGGCUCCUAAUGUGUAAGAAAUUUUCAGGAAUGUGCUGUCUCAGCUGCGGUGACCCAACCCGGGAGACACAAUGCCAUCCACAGCAUUGAUGGGCACAUUUCAGGAACCAACCAUUAGCUUUUAAGCUUCAAUGUCUUCCCCAGGGCAUCAUGGCAGUGCAAGUGGGAAAACACCGUCGAUUGUUCCGAAGAGGUUUCUCUCAAGAUUUCCCAAUUUCGAUUUCUCUUACGCAGUACAGAGCAGACAGGUUUGGGAGACAGGCUACCUGGGGUUUGGGUCCUAGCGUCUCUACUAAUUGGCUGUAUGACCUUGGGCACAUAGCUGAGAUGCCCUGUGUCAAUGAUGUUACCUACCUUAGAUGAUAGUUGGGGGGAUUAUAUGACAUAAGACAGGUAACGUACUUAGCACAUAGAGCCUUUUUUAAAAUAUUAGCGGGGCGCCUGGGUGGCUUAGUUGGUUGAGCUUCUGACUCUUGGUUUUGGCUCCGGUCCCGAUCUCUGAUCUCUGGGUGGAGAGAUAAAGCCUCAGGCUCUGUGCUCAGCGGGGAGUCUGCCUGAGUUUCUGUCCUUCCGCCCCUCCCUCCCCCACGGGCACAAACGCGUGCACAAAUGCAUGCACUGUCUCUCUCUCUCUCAAAUAAAUAAAUACAUCUUUUUAAAAAAUGUUAGCUAUUAUUCUUCCCAUUUAAUGGUAGAAGUGAGUUAGUUUCCUGCUGAAAGAGUAUAAAAUGUAGAGAAGGAAAGAGAAAGGGAAAGCCUGGGGUGGGAGAGACAAUUGGGGAGGACAUAGGGUUAGGAUGAGGAUUUACCCACGGAUCUAAAGCCGCUCUAUCCCAUAGAAAUGUAGUGCAACCCACAAACGUGAGCCACAAAAGCUAGUUGCAUAUGGAAUUUUAACUUUUCUAGUAGCCACACUGAAAAGGAGAUGAAAUCAAUUUUAAUCAUGUUAUUUAACCCAAUUUAUUUCACCUGAUAUUAUAACCAAAUAUAUAAUGAUAUAUUUUAUACAACUCAAUAUUUAACCCAGUAUAUUGGCCACUGUAGAGAGUCGAUCGAAAAAUAUUAGUGUGAUUUUUUUACAUCAUUUUUUUAUACUAAGCCUUUGGGUUUUCUUGUUUGUUUUGGUUGGUUUUUUAGAGCGAGAGAAUGCAGACUCAAGCAGGGGUUGGGGUGGAGGGGCAGAGGGAGAAGGAGAGAGAGAAUCUUAAGUAGACUCCAUGCCCAGCCUGGAGAAGGUCUCCUGACCCUGAGAUCAUGACCUGAGCCGAAAUCAAGAGUUGGUCGCUCAACCAAAUGAGCCAUGCAGGAGCCCCCAUACUAAGUCUUUGAAACCCAGUGUGCAUUUUAUGCUUACAGCACAUCUUUUUUUUUCAUGGUGGCAUCAUUUAUUUGCAUAUUUUCAGCAGCUUCAGUUAUUUUGCCAUUAUGAACAGUGAACAUAUGGACAUCCUUGCACAUAAAUUGGUCUGUUAAUUUCCUUAGAAGUGAAAUUUCCAGGUCAAAGAGUAGAACGUUUUUAGACUCUUGAUGCAUUUUGCAAGUUGCUUUCUAGAAAUUUUUCCCCGUUUACAUUCCCAUCAGCUAUGUAUGACUUCCAUCAAAAACAAAAGUUUGUUAACUUGAAUCAUAAUAAACAGUGUUUUCAACUUGCCUUAAUUUAACUUUUUAAACUUUUAAUGGCAGUUUUAAUUUGCUUUCCUUUGAUUACUUGUAGACACUUAAAUGUUUAUCAGCCAUCUGUAUUUCUUCUGGGAGUUGUUCAUUCCAUUCCUGGGGUAUUAGAACAUCAUCAAUUUUUUCUGUACUUUAUAUGUGAUCUUUAUGGAAAAUAAUUUCCCAUUUUAUAUGGUUUUAAAUCAUAUCUAUACCUAUAAUGUUAUAAAAGCUGAAGCUUUUUACAAAUUUGCAACUAGUCGAUAAGUAAGUCCUGGAGAUCUAAUGCACAGCAUGAUGAUCAUAAACAAUAUUAUAUUAUAAACUACAAAGUGGCUAAGAGACUUGAUCUUAAUUAUUCCCACCACAAAAAAAUAAUUAUGUGAUGUGAUACAGGCAUUAGGUAUGCCUAAUGGUGGUAAUCAUAUUGAAUAUGCAAUAUUGUAAUAAAUGUGUUAAAUCCACAGGUUGUGUACCUUGAACUUACACAAUGUUAUAUGUCAAUUAUAUUUCAAUUAAAAAUAUUUUUAAGAGAAAAUGUUUCCAGAAGUA